GUUACCAGUGGAGCAGAACUUUGAAUUGUACAAUAUCCCCAGGACAUCAAUGUGUCUCUUAAUUCAACUGUUUUGAUACUGUGUGACUUUGACUACCCGGAUAAAACCGUAAUAGAGGUGUACAGGAGGAAAGAUUCUACCUGUAAUCAGCUGGUGCUCCAGCCAACCGCAAGUACCUCUGAUGUUCAAAAGUCACAGGUACAAAUUAAAACUGAGCAGUCCAAAAACCUUUCAAUCUUACGACUGAACAACGUUCAGCGGAACGAUGCUGGCAUGUCUUUCUGUGAUGUAAGGCUAAUUUUACCACUACUAGUAAGGCACAAAUAUGGAAGUGGCAGCACGCUGACAGUACAUGAGUCCAAAUGCAAUGGCAAUAUCCGGCAUGCUAAAACAUGGUGGGUGUGGUUCUUUCUUCUGUGAUAUAGCAUCUGUUCCUCUAUUAUCAUCAUAGCUUUCUCCGGUGACCCUAACAGCCAUUCUGGUCCUGAACCUCCAGAAAACCCUCUCCUCUGCACAAGGCCGGUGCUAGCUUUUUUGCCACCCCAAGCGGGGAAGAGGAAGAAAAAAAAAGAUAAAGCUGUGAUCAGCGGCACUUUGGCAGCUGCUCUACUGCCUCGCUUCAUUCUUUGGCGGCAAGUCGGUGGCCGGUCCUUCCCUUUAAGUGGGACUGAGGGACCCGCCGCCAAAUGGCCACCGAAGACCCAGAUGUGCCUCUCCUUUCCACUGGUUGCCCCAAGCACCUGCUUCCUGCGCUGGUGCCUGGAGCUGGUCCUGCCUCUGCAGUGUCCAGUCUCUCUUACUGAGAUUCUUCAGUGCUGUAAAAAACAUAGGAACAACUCAAGAAAUACUGAUGGCAUCUGUACUUUG